rnacentral:lncRNA from 1 species
CUGUGAUUUGCCGUGGCGGCGUGGUUUUUGUCCCUUGUGUUUGCUUUCGUUUGUUAUUGCCUCUUUUUUGUUUUGCACUGCGGCGAGUCCUGCAGGGGGCUGUGCCUUUUUAUUGUCUUGCCGGGCGGGGGCAGCCCACACGCCGCCGCAAAGGAAAAGGCGGACCCACAGAGGCACCCCCCCCCAAAAAAAGAGAGGUCUUCUUCCCUCUUUGAAAAAAGAAAAAGCCAAAGAGGGGACGCGAAAAGACAACACACAAAGCAAAAAGGCGGAUUAACGAGCAAAGCCCCGUGCGACGAAAUCUACGACGAGAUCUGUCGCGCCCGCAGCCGACGGCGUAUCGGCCAGCGCGUCCAAGAGCCAGAAAUCGUGGGGCACGUCGGCAUACGAGGCUGCUUGGACUGGCGUGCCGGCCCGCAACAGCGCGUCUGCAUAAACGUGUCCGUGGUGUGCGACAACGUCCCGGUCGGCGGUGAUGAUCAACGUCGGCGGCAGCAGUCGCAUAUGGGAGGCUUUGGCCUUGAGUGGCGACUGCGCGGGAUCGGGUGCGUAGGCGGUCCAGGCGUAGGCCAUGGCGUCGCGUGUCGUCCACGGCAGGCAGAUCUCGUCGUCGCCAUCGUGCCCGUUGUCUUUGGCACAGAGUGCGCCAUCGUGCGGCGCGUCCAAAAUGGGGCAGACCAAGACUUGCGCGCACAUGCGAGGCGCCAUCUCGGGAUCGGCGGCGAUCGCCAGCGCCGCCGCGGCCGCGAUGUGACAUCCGAGGCCGUCGCCGACAAGGGCCAGACGCGUCCCGUCGACGCCCACGCGGUCGCCACACGCGGCCAGCCACGCGACGACACACGCCACCUG